rnacentral:lncRNA from 1 species
GCUGUUUUGAGUCUUUUGGUUUGUUUUGGUGUUUUAAAGUUUAGUUUUGCAUUCUUUGAGUCUAGUUUAGUAUUUUAAACUUGUUUUUACAUAUUUGAGUCAGUUUUCAAGUGAUUUUGCAAUCCCUCCUAAUCCCCGGUUUAGAACGAUCCCUACUUACAUACUUUGCUACAAUUGAUAAAAAGAGGGUUAAUUUGAGUGUCAACAUAAUUUUCACAUCAUGUCCCUAAGUGUUAUCAACUUUGAAGGCCUCCUAAGUAUUCUAGGACAUCAAGCACACAUUUCUUGCAUGGUCUAAGUCAAUGCCGCACCUCACAUGCCCUUUCCACAAUCCCAUCUUCCUUGCCGUGCAAGGGAACCCUUUCCCUUCAGUUUUAGGACAUUUAAUCCUUUCCCUAAACCUUUCCUACAUCACAGCCGCACCCCUUAACCUUUCCUCUUCCUUGCCGUGCAAGGGAGAAGGUCCUUUCCUAUUUCCUUGCAUUAAAACACAUUCCUUUUAUGUUUUAAUGCCUUGCGGCAUAUCUUAGCUAAUUUCCCUUAGUUUUCUGAUUUGAUUUCCUAUUUCUAGAAGCUUUUGACUUAAUUUCUAUUACCCUAAAUAACCUAGGGUUUUAAUUUCCUCAACCCUUUAAAUAAACUCCCUUUUUUGCAGCCAAAAAUCAUCCAUUCAUUCACGAUUCACGCCAGAAAGCUAUCCCCACUCUCUACCACAUCCAUUCAUUCACCAUUCACGCCAGAAAGCCAUCCCCACUCUCUACCACAUCCAUACUUCACCAUUCAUCAUAUUUUCUGCCCAGAAACAACCCUUGCCGUCCCCUACAUUCAUCCAUAACUCCCUAAACUCACCCCCAACCCUUGUGCCGCAGCAAAGGAGAGGAAGAAGAAGUGCUUGAAGGUUCUAGCUGUUCAACAUUGAAUCGUUGGAGUAUUUAGGUGUUCUCUUUCUUACAUUUACAAUGUAUAAAUCUGUUUUCCUUUGUUUUGUGAACAUGAGGA